UGCGAUUCGACGUCGACGGAAUGUGGGUUCUAAUGCUGAACUCGUGGAGCGAAGGGCAACAUUUUUGUAGUACUUCUUUUUUUUUACAUUUUUAUAUUACCCCCGUUACGUUACCGUGUCUCAAAUUUGCCGUGAGUGUUUUUUUUUUGUUUUGUUUAACUGGGCUUUGAACAGGGUACGGUGCAGUGGAUAAAAAAUGAUCGGCGCUUGUGCGGGAGUGCUUUGCUGCAUUAAAAUGUGCUCCGUGCUGGAGAGCACUGGAAUCAUUUCACAAUAAAUAACUCACAAGCUGAAUACAAUAGACUCUCGCUCGCAGUGCUGGAUUUGAAAAGUGGGAAUUUGGCUUGUUUAAAGUUGCUGUAGGCUGCGCUGAAUGUGAAAAUGUGUAAAAAAGCAAGUCGUUACUGUACCGCGAAUGUGUUGCUUUAUGGGGUGCGUGCAAUUGACCAAUCAGGGCUGCAGGUUGAAGAACAUUUCUUUAGAGAGUCAUCCAAUAACAGCCAUUAUCAUGGGUGUUGGACACUGCAGUAAAUCAUAUCUGUUUAUUCCUGAUAAUUCAUCCAGCGCAUUCCCUGGCAUGACGUUUUGUUAUAUUAUUUGUAAGUAUUCAUGUCCAACAAGGAUAGACAAUUACAGUUUUAUGAGUUUAUGAGUUUUCUGACUCACUUGAAGCAAAACUGUUGUUAGUCCCUGCAGCUGUGCUGUGUUAUCAUGCUAUGCUAUCAAUGCAAGCGGGCUUGAAAUGGUUAACAAAUGUACUGCUUUUUCGGGAUAAUUGCCACGGGACCUGUAAUAAAUGCUGUGAGUCAGGAUCUUGGCGUAAUGUCAUCUGAAAGGUACCUCCUAAAACACAGGAUCCCCAUCAGUGGGGCUGGUUUCCGCCCUGGGCCCAAAGCGAUACUGCCCCCUCCUGGUGCACCAGCAUCACUUUCAAAAGCAGCCUUCCAGGAGCCAGGCCCUCUUAACACCCAGCAAUUUGUAAAUUUGAGCCUUUAAUGUGCAAGAUCACAAAUAUGUGAGCAGAAUGUUCUGAACUGAACAUUAUAAUGCUGAUAUAACAAUCGCAACUGGUCACUGAAAGCAGUGGAGUUCUGAAACACCAACUUAAAAAAAAACAGUUCAAAAACGUUCUCUUCAGAGGGCUAAGAGAGCUGCUUAUUACGCUAUUUCCUUAGAUAUUCAUCAUGUCAAAGACUAUUUAUGUUUAUUUCUAAGAUAAGUAAAAAAAAAUGUAAUGACAGGAUUCUUAUUCAAUCGCACAAAUUCAUUUUUAGUUUUAGCCUCAGGAGCCCUUCAGCCGUUGGAGAUUUGACACUAGUGAAGUAUUCCCAAGAUGUGGGAACUAGGCCACAUGGGUUGGGAGUUUCCAGAGGGGGGAUCCAGUCAUCAGGCAGUGUCCCCCAAACACCACAGCCCUUAGUGGGUGGAAGUGACAGGGUUUGGGGGGGGGGAAGCGGUAGAUUUUCAGAGACCCAAAAACCAGAUUAUUUUUGGAGUGGGCGUGUCGGAAGCACCCCUGACCCCUCCCCCUUGUUCUGAGACGUCCCCUUUCCGUGGUGACGGGGGAGGAGUCACGCCAGGUCGUGUUCCACUUUCUGCUGCUCUCCUUUACUUUCUCCCUCUCCAGGCGGGGCCAAGGGGGAAGGAGCAGAGACAUAGUGACCCCGCCCCAACCUGAAUGGGCGGCGCUGAGAGAAAAGGACCCCACCCCAAAAAUGCCUCUCCAUGUCUCGUGUCUGCCUGGUAGCCAGUCCUACUGCGACAACAACACAACAAGCAGGUGGUGACCCUUAGAGGGUGAAGGAAGGGGCCUUCUCUGUCCAAGGAGAGGAGGAAGAUCCUGUGCCAAGGUCCCGUGAUUUCUCACCAGCGCCACCUUCAGGCUCGGCAGAAGAAUGCCAUCAAAGAGCUCUUAAGGCUUUUUGCUGAAAAGAAUACAGACACAACCAACAGUUCCCUUAACUGUUGUUAUGUAACACCCCUGUUUAAAUUAAGCUUUAGGUGAAUUUAAUUCUUAGAUUUUAAAAAAAGGGAAGGUGAUUCAUCUUCCGAAAAAGAACCCCAGGAAAAGCAUUCAGGUGAAGCUUCCCGCAUGCUCAGUUUUUGCUCCCUACAAGGCUGGUCUGUUAAUACUCAGUGUGUCCAACCAAGCAAUUUUCCUGGGGUUUAAAUCCCAAAGGAAAGCCUGGGUGCCUAUACAGUCAGUUUGGCUCGGUCUUUACCUGAACUGCAGCCGUAGCUUGUUUGUGUGCCUGUGUGAGGGGGUGGAGCUCUGCCGUGGUCCUCUUAGUUUGCCACUCCUUGUCACCCUUCUCAGCUGGAGGAGGCUGGAUGAUGAAGGACGGAGUUGUGAACCAGCUGUGUGGUGUAGCAGGCAAGGGGACUGAGGGGAGGUGGAGAUUUAUACUAAUCUGUGACAGUAGACCACCAUGUCCAGACUCACAUGUACACACAUGCUUCAUGCAACAAAUGCAUGCAGGCACACAGAUGCACAAACACACACACACACACACGUAAGCACGCGCACGUGUACUUGCACGUUUACAUGCAAGCACAUAUGCAGACACACGCAAGCGAGUGCACACACAUACACUUACAUGCACACACACGUGCACAAAGACAGUAGGACAACUGGUCCAGUCUGGGGGUGGAGAUCGUAGCAGGCCAUUACGCUGGCCUGUAUUGAACUCUGCUGUCUGAAGGUUCUGGAAAAGGUGGCGGUAGGAGAGUUAAUCCCUAGGAAAACUGCCGGAAUCUUCCAUCUCUGUCACCCUGUCACCGUCGUCACCUCCUGACAGAAUCAAUAAAUUAGGGCGCCACCGGUUUCUGAACCCUUUGCACCCCCCCUCCCAUCCUGCUGCACUGGAGCAGAGGCUCCGCCCCCACUGCAUCAGCCCAGGAAAUUGAUUGUUCCGCUGAGUUAAUUGACACCUCAGGCGGUUCCUUUGUUUCCCUCCCUGUGUGGGUCGGCGAUGGCUGAGUGGGUGUUUCCCGCCCUUCUCUCUUUGUUUUCUUGGCGGUACUGCUCUUGUUGACUUUCUCGGGAAGGGCAGCGGUAAACCGAUCAGGGUUUUUUGGGGUAGGUGGGGGUCUGGAUCGGUGGGAUUUGGACGUGAAUACGGAAGGCUGAGAAGCUUUGUGAGGUGACACGCAUCAAUAUGCAAUCCAAAAUCCAUACGUUAAAUAUCAGACUAUGAAAGGUUGCAAAAUAUUUAUUUCCAUGAUGACUAAAUAUAUUUUCCGAAAUAUGUAGACAAUUACAUAUAUAAAUUUGGGCAUAGUUGGUAUAUGUUGUGUUUCAUAUCGAAUAUAGCAUACAGUCAAAAUAUAUUUUGGAUUUCAUAUUGUACCACAUACAAUAAUAUAUACCUGUUUUUCAUGAGACAAUGCUCAGGCAUAUAGUAUACAUAUAGUAGGUGUAAAAGAAAAUGGGGAAAGGAGUAGCAGUCAAAAACUUAGGGUUAUGUGCUGGAAUAGGUGGGUCAGCCUCAGUGAAUUUCUCCUGAAGGGACAGGAGUCGUCUAAAAUGGCGUCCUGCAUAUUGUUACAUUUUACUUGCUGCAUUUGUCAUUUUUAAGUGAUUGGAAAUGGAAUUGUUUAACUUUGCGAUGCAUGAAAGAAACGCACAAUGGACCAUUCGCUCAUUUGAUUUGAACUCAUCACCGCAUUUCAAUUGGUCCGAUUGGCCCGUUUCGAGUGCUGAAUUGCAUGUUCGCCCAAUCACCUCGACCCAGACGGGCUUUGAAGUCAGAAGCCAGAAUGUUCCGGAGCCUGUGAAAUUCCCUAUCCCGGAGCCAUUGAUGAACAAAGAUGGUUAGCUAAUGCAUUAGGUCCGCAUCUUCAUAUUCCCCACAAGCCAUGCGAGUGACGCUUCUCUCAGCAAAGAUGAAAACUAAUUGGUUUACCUCUUGCCAAUAGCCUUGGCCCGCUAAAUCGCCAGUGGUGCAGACUAACCAAUUCCAGCGACGUUUGUUUCUCCUGAAAACUCUCAGAAAUUUUCAAUUUGGGUUUUUUACAACCCAUCUCCCGUCCCCCUGACAAUGGCAUUUAGCACCAUGCAUUAUUCUACCCAUGCGUUAUUCUACUCACUGAUGUGUGACAGUGAAUUAUGAUAACACUGACGGUGCCUUAUCAUUGGCUCAAAUGUGCAGGUUGUCUUAAUCUUGUAUCUUCAAGUUCUCUCUUCUUCUCACUUUCCAUCUUUAUAUCUUGUUGGAGCUGCAUGUGAGGGCUACUCCUGUUGCCCUGGAAACCUUAACCAGUGGUUUGAUGAACUAACAAACACCAGCAAAGCUGGUUACUAACCUUUACUAACAGAGAUUAACCAACUAAACCAAAACCUUGCAAGUCAAGGAAGUUCACUACCUUUCUGUCACCUGAAAACUGUCUUUCCUGUAACUAUGGUGCUGUUACUGCUCUUUUCAGUGUGAGCGUGUUUGUGUGUGCGUGUAUUUGUGAAUAUAGCUGUGUGUACUUACGUGAAUGUUGUUGUGUGCGUGCGUGUGGGAAUAUGGCUGUGCGUUUCUGUGUUAAUAGGGUGGUGAGUGCAUGUACAUGCAUGUGAAUACUGCUGUGUGUGUGUGUGUGCGUGUGUGUGCGUGUGUUUGCUUGUGUGUGUGCGUGUGUGUGUGCUUGUGCGUAUGCGUGUGUCAGUUUGUGUGUACAGAGGACUGUCUAAUGUUGUCAUAUAAAUUUCACAACUCCGUCUCAUUCAUCUGGCACUUUCCAUGUGCACAAGAGUUUCUCUGACAAAAAAGAAAAAAGAAAAAAGAAAAAAAAAAACCUGACAUUCUCUUCCUGGCAUCGUGGGCAGAAGGCUUAACAAAAUCUAACACUUUACUAACGUCUAACAAUUCUAACAAUGCUGUUACUAACCCCUGCAGUAGAUGGUGCUGCGUACUGUGGGCUAGGCUUACUAACGGAUCCCAACAGGCUCUGUGAGUCCCUUCCCACAAUCCCCUGCUUCUGGAAACAAUUUCCCCUUCCCUGACAGACUUGCUAAGACACCAACAACAAUGGCCAGGAGUGUCAUAUUUUAUAUCACAGUUCUUAAAUUCAGCAAGGGUAAUUAUUUCUGUGCCAUACCUCUACCCCGCAGAACCAAUAUCGAUUGUUCUAAAAACCGAGGAAAAAAAUGACUUGCUCUAAUUCAUCAAUCCCUUGUUCCAUAGCACAAGAUAUCUACAGCUGGGAAAAAAGAAAAAGAAAAAAAAACAAAGCCCUGCUUUGUAAUGCUUUCCAAAAUCACACAGAUGAUGUUUUUGUUAUGUCUGUACAGUAGUUGAAUUUAAAAUGUCUCCUCUAAGAAAGCAGUCUUUCAGGGGCUGAAGAAAUAGUUUCAGAACCAGGAACGAAGCCAUGGUUUUGAGUAAAACCAAACCUUUUCACAGUGCCUGCACAGUGGACCGGAGAGGGCGAGGUUAGCCCCGAGGACGCUGCUCCCAUUGGCUGUUACAGCCUGUCUCUCAAAAGCCAGAACUCAUUUUUUUAUACCACCAUUACGGGCUCAGUUUGUGAGAGGGAAAACUGGAGCGAGCUUGCAGUCAGCCAUCAGCUGUGUCAAGCAAGACGUUAAUAAUGCAUUUACAACACAGCUGUGCCAUAUUUGCACACAUCAUGUCUGCUCCAAGCUAGUUUUGACCUUGAGCCAAAAUAACUCACCUUUAGGCGCCCCCCCCCCCUCCCAUCUCCCCCCCGGUCUACUGUGUGGCAACCUGUUGCCCUGUGCUUGGUUUGUUGCUUGGACAAAUCAUUGCUAUGUCCCGCCACAUUCUUUCCACCCCGCAAUUCUCAGAAAUCAAGAGGAAUGCACUAACACACCUGUUUACAAUACUAACUACCGGUGAUGACCGAGGUACUAACACCCCUGGUGUUUUCUUUCCAACACCGCCUCUCUUCUUGACUAACUCUGUAUCCGAUCCUUGACUAACGCACGCUUCAUUUCCUGCCUCAGUCCUGGCGCCUUCUACUUACCACCUGCCCUCCCCCCACCCUCCCCCCACCCCACCCCCCUCUCCGCGAAUUUUCAGAGGGUGCGGAGACGGCAGCUAACUCGACUCAUCUCUUUACUAACAUUGGUGCGCCGGCGUGACGGUCACAGCUGGUGCCAUUACUAACUCGGCGGGGGGGGGGGGGGGGGGGGCGACUGGGCAAGCCUGAAUGAUGCUACUUGCCCCCCAGACUGGUCAAGAGGAAAUGCUCUGUACUAACACUCCUGGGGCUGGGGGUGGCCAGCUCAACACUAACAUGCACCUUGCACCCCUUAACCCCCCCCCAAAAAAAGAAAGAGCUAACAAACUAAUGACUGAAUCACUGUGCCUGACUGCUCUCCUGCAUAUGCCUUCCUUUUUGGAACAUACUGUAGCAUCGAGUGCGGACUGGGGCGUGAAACCUAAAUGUGAAGAGUGUAUGUUUCAUGCAAGCUGAAAAUAUACAGCAUAUAUUAGGAAAUAUAUUAUUGUGGCUAUUGCCACUUUAAUGUCUUUUUUGUGAUGUUAAAAGACAUAGAUUUUAUGUAAUAUAUGUACUGAAUCAUGUGUGCACAUACAUGUAUGUGUGUGAAUGUCAUAUAUAAUAUAAAUAUAUACAUAUACACAUGUAUGCAUAUGUACAGUAUGUAUGUAUAUAUAUAUAUAUGUACUGUAUAUAUACUAAACAUAUAUAUGUAUGCGCUGUAUAUAUAUUAUACAUAUAGAAAUAAUAUACACACAUGUAUACACCAUCAUUUCAAACAGGUAAUAUAUAUGCUGUAUUACUAUAUACCUGUACUAAAAUAUAACUGUAAAUAUGCAUUAUUAAAGUGUCGCCUCCUGACGGGGUGCUCUUCAUAGGGGUCAUGAGGGUGCCAUUUUGUGGCUGAAGGCAGAGACAGGAGCAGCCUUCAGAAACAGUGGGGGUGGAUGGGAGUGGGAACAGGAGAGCCUCUGGUGGGGACCCAGCGCGACCCUGCCGAAUUAAAGCGCGUAAAGCCGCCGUGUUUCCAGCGGAACGCGUAACGCUGCGGGCGUACAGUACGUUAGGACGGCUCGGGGAGUCAGGCGAGGUUGCCUGUUUUUGCUGUGAUGAGUCUCACAGAGUUUCGCUCGCUCCCUCUGAACACGGGGUUCCUGAACCUCCCAGCAUCUAGACACCGCAUGCACCUCUCAUUAUUCAGUCAUCCGGGCUCAGGGCUGACCCUGGGAUUCAAUCAAACCCGCCAAGUUGCACUAGAGGUAUGAAGAGCUAUUCAAUACAAAACGGACAAAAACACAAAUCAAUCCAGCGCAGUACUACACGUCACUCUUUUGUUCAAUAAACCUCAAAGUCCUAGUCGGUAUCUGGUAAGCCGUGAUGCAGCUGCAUAUUAACUGCGUACUUCUUCUGAUUAGCGCCUUCUCUAAGACAUUUUGGCGGAUUCGGUUGAAUCAGGGGGAUCGGGUUUUGAGGGAAGCGCUCUCAGAGCUGCCUUUGUGGAUUUCAGGGCCCCCAAAAUGUACCCACAGCCAAACUAAACGGACGACUUUUUCCGCGUCCGUCCACGCUGUGCUUAUUCUGCCUUCCCGUUCACUUUCUGGCCAAUAUCACACUUCAUUGCCAUGGAUACAAAAAUCCUCUCUCCCGAUUUGCUGUUGUGGCUCUGAAAGGCUUUCAACUUUUAAUGGUGUAGUUUUUUUUUUCAUUUUCAAAAGCACUCUUCCACCUCUUCAGCAGUUACGAACAAUACAACGCAGAGGUUUGGCAUGACAACGGACGACCUUGAAUCCAACUCACAGGGUACGCUCUGAGUGGAAGGAUAAAUAAAUGAAUAAUAAUUGAAAAAAUAAAAAUAAUAAAAUAAUAAUAAUAAAAGCUCUGCAGUUUCCGGCAGUGGUGACUAAUGCCACUGAAUGCCUGCCUGGGGGACAGGACUGGCGAGAUUCGCUCCUGUUGCUAACGCUAAAGUGCGGGCGCUGUGUGCGCGUUUCCGCUGGAAAUGGUUAGGCCCUUUCUGCACACGGAGGCGACGCCCCCAUCUGCGCACUGAUCCUGGCCUUGCACUGCUUUCCUCUGCACGACAGGAAGUCGCUCUGACUGGGAGAGGGCGUCAAUAAUGUCCGCCACUCCUUGUGUGUGCGUGUGUGAGUGUGAGUGCGUGUGUAUGUGUGUGAGAGAGAGAGAGAGAGAGAGAAACGUGUGAAUUCCUUACUAGGUGUUUCACCAGAUGGUUAACUGGGCUUCAUUUUUGUUUCACUCAUCGAAUGCAUAGAAUUAAAUGAAUCCAUUCAGAGAUGGGAUUCUGACUUAGCUGAGUUCCGCCCUUGCUUUAAUGGUAACCAUGUUAGCCAGGUAGUCACCGUUGCUGAUUGGAGAGUGUGGCUCCUUGUUAAGUGGCCCUCUCUAAAUACAGGAUGUGUGCGCUUCUUGAGCUUUUGCUUCUUAAUGGCGCUGUCCUCUGGCUUCUUUUCCUUUUGUUCUUCCUCAUCACCACCUAUCUCAAAAUGGAGACUCGGUGACAAACUCAGGGAGCUGCUUCGGGGAGCGGUGGUUUUCUUUGGCAGGAGAAUUGCCUUAAAUGUCACAUUAAACUGCAGAUUACGGUUGGGUGGGAUUUUCGGGUGAGUGAGUUCUUGCCAGGGGCACAGAGAUGAUUCCGUGUGAUGCUGUUAUAAAAGGGGGGGGGGGGGGGUGGGCAAGGGGACAGAGGGUGUCAAGGUGACAGAUUAUGACCAGGUGAUAGAGGGUGACAGGUUUAUAGAGGGCAGCAAGGUGACCGAAAUGAAGUCACCAGGAAGUUCAAGAUUAUUUCUGCCUCGACAUCUGUUGUAACAGGCAUAUGGGCCAAUACAAUAAACGCAGUGUUUCACAUCUGUCAUGCACACUGCCCGAUGUUUGGCCUAAUUGUGCAAAUGUAUUGCUUGUGCAGGCUACCUUGGUGUUCUCUGAGGAAUUAAAAGUUGCUUUGUCCUCUUCUGCUCUGUGAAACCUUCAGCAGGUUCAGCUUUUUUUCCUGAAAAGCACAAAAAAAAAUUUAAUAAAAAAAAUUUAAAAAGUU